AAUUGCAUUGGCAAAGCCACCUACUACCGACUACUGCAUUCAUCUUCAUCUUGGCCCGUUUCCUCACAUUUCUUCCCCCCAAAGAAGUUGUGCUACUUCUCUGAAUAAAUGAUGCCACAAGCCGCAAAGAGACUUCACUUCAACUUAUCACCAAACACGUGUAUGAAUAUUUUUAGAGCCAAGCUCCUAAUUGGUUAGUCCGAGCACACGAAAACAAUUGAACUUCGGCAGCAUUAAGUUCUUCUAAUUAUGACGCACUUUUUCUCAGUGCACGCAUCCCUUUUUCCGGAGCCAGCUGUGUGAAUUAUUAAAUAAGCAACAUGGCGGACAGCAGAGAAAUAAUGAAAAAUAAAACCCAAAUGUUGCAUACUUCUCAGGCUGAAGGGAUUUCUACCCCUCUCUCUCUCUCUUUUUGUGCCUGAGUGUGAUUUUUAUGUGUAUUUUUAUUGGAUUUUAUAUGCGCAGCACCCCUGGCUCACGAAUAAAAAAGCGACAAGGAAUGAAAAUUGAAUAUUUUAUGUGAAGUG